AAUUCAUUAUCGCUGAAUUUCCUUAAGGAAAACGGGGGACCCGUUAAAAACUUACCUGCCUUUCAGGUGAGUUUCUCUUUUGGGGUGAAUCUUGGCAGUUGAUCCAGCGAUCCGCCAGGUAGGGCGACUCUUGCCGCCCGAAUCCGACAGCUAACCUCGUAAGCGUAGUCAGGAGUGGGU
rnacentral:sRNA from 1 species